UACAGAGGUCUCAAGCGUUGUUCGGAUUCAUUGGGCGUAAAGGGUGCGUAGGCGGCGCGGUAAGUCGGGUGUGAAAUCUCGGAGCUUAACUCCGAAACUGCAUUCGAUACUGCCGUGCUUGAGGACUGGAGAGGAGACUGGAAUUUACGGUGUAGCGGUGAAAUUCGUAGAUAUCAAGCAGAACACCUGCGGCGAAGGCGGCCUUCUGGACGAUGACUGACGCUGAGACGCGAAAGCGUGGGGAGCAAACAGG
rnacentral:rRNA from 1 species